rnacentral:rRNA from 1 species
GAUGAACGCUGGCGGCGUGCCUAAUACAUGCAAGUCGAGCGAACAGACGAGGAGCUUGCUCCUCUGACGUUAGCGGCGGACGGGUGAGUAACACGUGGAUAACCUACCUAUAAGACUGGGAUAACUUCGGGAAACCGGAGCUAAUACCGGAUAACAUGUUGAACCGCAUGGUUCAACAGUGAAAGACGGUCUUGCUGUCACUUAUAGAUGGAUCCGCGCCGCAUUAGCUAGUUGGUAAGGUAACGGCUUACCAAGGCAACGAUGCGUAGCCGACCUGAGAGGGUGAUCGGCCACACUGGAACUGAGACACGGUCCAGACUCCUACGGGAGGCAGCAGUAGGGAAUCUUCCGCAAUGGGCGAAAUCCUGACGGAGCAACGCCGCGUGAGUGAAGAAGGUCUUCGGAUCGUAAAACUCUGUUAUUAGGGAAGAACAAAUGUGUAAGUAACUAUGCACGUCUUGACGGUACCUAAUCAGAAAGCCACGGCUAACUACGUGC